rnacentral:rRNA from 1 species
AGUGAACGCUGGCGGUAGGCCUAACACAUGCAAGUCGAACGGCAGCACAGUAAGAGCUUGCUCUUACGGGUGGCGAGUGGCGGACGGGUGAGGAAUACAUCGGAAUCUACUUUUUCGUGGGGGAUAACGUAGGGCCACUUACGCUACUACCGCAUACGACCUACGGGUGAAAGCAGGGGAUCUUCGGACCUUGCGCGAUUGAAUGAGCCGAUGUCGGAUUAGCUAGUUGGCGGGGUAAAGGCCCACCAAGGCGACGAUCCGUAGCUGGUCUGAGAGGAUGAUCAGCCACACUGGAACUGAGACACGGUCCAGACUCCUACGGGAGGCAGCAGUGGGGAAUAUUGGGCAAUGGGCGCAAGCCUGAUCCAGCCAUACCGCGUGGGUGAAGAAGGCCUUCGGGUUGUAAAGCCCUUUUGUUGGGAAAGAAAAGCAGCAGGUUAAUACCCCGCUGUUCUGACGGUACCCAAAGAAUAAGCACCGGCUAACUUCGUG